UUGUCUCAAAGAUUAAGCCAUGCAUGUCUCAGUACAAGCCAAAUUAAGGUGAAACCGCGAAAGGCUCAUUAAAUCAGUUAUGGUUCCUUAGAUCGUACACAAGUUACUUGGAUAACUGUGGUAAUUCUAGAGCUAAUACAUGCAAACAGAGCUCCGACCGGAGACGGUAGGAGCGCUUUUAUUAGAUCAAAACCAAUCGGUGGCGGUUUCCGUCAUCGUACAACUUGGUGACUCUGAAUAACUUUACGCUGAUCGCACGGUCUUGCACCGGCGACGCAUCUUUCAAAUGUCUGCCUUAUCAACUGUCGAUGGUAGGUUCUGCGCCUACCAUGGUUGUAACGGGUAACGGGGAAUCAGGGUUCGAUUCCGGAGAGGGAGCCUGAGAAACGGCUACCACAUCCAAGGAAGGCAGCAGGCGCGCAAAUUACCCACUCCCGGCACGGGGAGGUAGUGACGAAAAAUAACGAUACGGGACUCAUCCGAGGCCCCGUAAUCGGAAUGAGUACACUCUAAACCCUUUAACGAGGAUCAAUUGGAGGGCAAGUCUGGUGCCAGCAGCCGCGGUAAUUCCAGCUCCAAUAGCGUAUAUUAAAGUUGUUGCGGUUAAAAAGCUCGUAGUCGAAUCUGUGUCCCGCGCCGCCGGUUCAUCGUUCGCGGUGUUAACUGGCGUGUCGCGGGACGUCCUGCCGGUGGGCUUAGCUCGCAAGGGCGGCCCAACUCAAUCCCGCCGCGGUGCUCUUCAUUGAGUGUCGAGGUGGGCCGGCACGUUUACUUUGAACAAAUUAGAGUGCUUAAAGCAGGCUAAAACUUUGCCUGAAUACUGUGUGCAUGGAAUAAUGGAAUAGGACCUCGGUUCUAUUUUGUUGGUUUUCGGAACCCCGAGGUAAUGAUUAAUAGGAACGGAUGGGGGCAUUCGUAUUGCGACGUUAGAGGUGAAAUUCUUGGAUCGUCGCAAGACGGACAGAAGCGAAAGCAUUUGCCAAAAACGUUUUCAUUGAUCAAGAACGAAAGUUAGAGGUUCGAAGGCGAUCAGAUACCGCCCUAGUUCUAACCAUAAACGAUGCCAGCUAGCGAUCCGCCGACGUUCCUCCGAUGACUCGGCGGGCAGCUUCCGGGAAACCAAAGCUUUUGGGUUCCGGGGGAAGUAUGGUUGCAAAGCUGAAACUUAAAGGAAUUGACGGAAGGGCACCACCAGGAGUGGAGCCUGCGGCUUAAUU
rnacentral:rRNA from 1 species